rnacentral:tRNA from 1 species
GGCUCCGUAGCUCAAUUGGCAGAGCAGUUGACUCUUAAUCAAUCGGUUGUGGGUUCGAGUCCCACCGGAGUCAUCA